rnacentral:rRNA from 1 species
UACGGAGGGGGCAAGCGUUGUUCGGAAUUACUGGGCGUAAAGCGCACGUAGGCGGCUUUGUAAGUUAGAGGUGAAAGCCCGGAGCUCAACUCCGGAAUUGCCUUUAAGACUGCAUCGCUUGAAUCAUGGAGAGGUGAGUGGAAUUCCGAGUGUAGAGGUGAAAUUCGUAGAUAUUCGGAAGAACACCAGUGGCGAAGGCGACUCACUGGACAUGUAUUGACGCUGAGGUGCGAAAGCGUGGGGAGCAAACAGG